CUUGCAGCCAGGGAAGGACAGAAAAGCCACCUUUGCAGAGGAUACCCUGGACUGUGGGUAAGAGAGUGGGGGCAACAUCGAGCAGAAGAGCAAGGUUUGCAAGGUUUGGAAGUGAAGAAAUCCUGAGAAAACUACUAUGAGGAACAUGGGAAUGCAAAUAAGAGCAGAAGUCGAAGAAGAGCAAGACCAAGACUACAGAAAUGAACUGAGACAGAGUCACUCAAAUCAUCACAGGCAAAUGCACAAUCUACAUACAGCCAGCAAACAGCUACUUAAAAAUUUCCAAGUAGCUCUGCUGUAUUUGUGAUUGCCUUCUGCAGCUCAGAACCAUAAAAGUUUUACUCAAAGAGAGGAUCUUCAGAGAAGAGGUUGUGCUUGGAGCUUAUCCUUCAACUUCAGCUGCUUAAAAAGAGAUGCCAAAGGUCACUGAAUCACCCUUAACUUGCUACCUCACCUUAAAGCAAAAGGAUUAUCUAUGGCUUAGCUGAACUCUAGGCAGGGAGCUGACACAGACUGCAAAAGAUCCUGUGCAAAUCCUGUAGGGACAGGUGGGUUCAGAAGCAUUAAACUGUUAAUCCAAUAAAAAGGAAGGGACUACAUUCA
rnacentral:lncRNA from 1 species